GGGUUCAGUUUUAAUAAACGACGUUUAAACGUGAAGAAAUUUGCUUUUUCUGUAUAGACCAUAGUCUAAUUAAAAUGAAAUUUUGUACACACGUGUAGCAGGGGAAUUACAAGCUCGUUUAUAAACUCAACAUAAAAAAAAAAGCACUUUUCUGUUGACAUUCCUGCGUUGCUCUAUUUGGAGGCCUUUUGUGUACUUAAAACAUUUAGUAACAGUAACUGAGCACAUUAAACACACAAGAGCAUGUGUGCCUGAUACAAACACACACACAAAUCCCUGACUGCUCACUGGCUGACUCUGGAUUCAUAAGCGUCAACAAUCACAUCCAUACAGAUCACCAAGCUGGAAUACAACCUGAGUUAUCAAGCGCAUCUACUCUCUCCUAUCACAGUGCUAAUAAAAAGCGGCUGUACUUCA